UCCCAUUAUAUGCUGGCCUUCAACUGACAAGUCUUUUGCCAUUACAAAGAGAAAAACUCAAUAUAGUUUUUCAUGAUGUGAGCCAUCAUGCUGCAUGGAAUGACCAAAAAUCCUAUCCAUCCAACUGAGAAACUACCAUCUUCUACAGAAGGCCAACUUUAAUUCCCCCAGCUACAAGGUCCUUCCUUCUAAAAUCACCUUGCAUAUAGUUUCAAUAAGCCUUCAUACAAAGACAUGUUGUCUCCCCCUCCAUUCUCCCAUUGGACAGCAAGUUCCUUCAAGAAAAUGUGGCAAGAGUUUGGUAAGAUGAUUCCCUAAGGGAAAGUCUCUGGAAUCAUGGAUUCUUUGCUCUCUUCUUUACACAUAUCCUGAAGACUACCUUGGUCCCAAGGCACUGAAAAUACCUCUGGCUAAAACCUUUUCAUCUUCAUUCUAUCUUGGAAAUAUCACCUGCCAACCUAGUUUUGAAAGUGGAUACCAUAUCACUCCAUUUGUUACCUUUCUUCUCCUUAUUCUCAGCAUUAAGUCACAAAGUUUUUUGUUUGUUUGUUUGUUUUUUUAACAUCCCAAAUAAAAGGAUAUUGGACUAGCCUAAUUCAUCUAUAAAUACUCCUAAAUUUCAAAAAGAUUGGAAAAAAUAUUCUGUACCAUCAUCAAAGAAUUUGAGAGUUGGAAGAAACUUAAAAAGUCACUAGUUCAAAUCAUAAAGGAAAGGAAUGGAAUCUCUACUAUAUACCUGACAAGUAGGCUGUAUUUAAACACAGUCUUUUUUUCAUUUAAGGCAGCCCAUCCCAAUUUUGAAUAGCUCUAGUUUUUUCUGACCUGAAUUUGUUAGGGGGAAAAGGGGAGGCCUUUUUAUUUGUUGUUUGUUUUUUUUUUCUUUUGGUCAACUUACACUUAUACCUCAUAGCUUUGCCUAUGGGGCCAAACAGAUCAAGUCCCUCCUCCAAAUGACAACUAUUCAAAUACCUGAAGACAGCUAUCACAUCCUAUACUUCCCUCCCCCAAAAAACUGUCUUCUCUUUUAUAGGCUUAACUGUAUCCAGCUCCUUCAUGAGCUUUAUGCUGUUGUUUGUCCUUCAUUCUCAAAGAGGCCCAUGACCCCAAGGAGAUGCAUGCCAGGUUAUGCAGGUGAGUUGGGAUUAAUUGAGGAAGGGAUGGGCAAGGUCACCUGCUAUUAUGGGCCAGAACUUAAAACAAGGUGCUAAGUCAGUGGAAUUGAUAGAGACAAUGGUUAUUUAGCCUGAUGCUUAACAGUUCUUUAGUUCAGUACAUGUACUUAGUACUUACUAUAGUUCUACACGAUUCACACCUUUGAUAAGAAACCAUAUAAAUUCGGACAAACUCAGCCAGAAUGAGAAUGAGGGAAGACAGAGACCGUGGUGGUGGUCCUCCUGCCUCCCCGACAGAAACCAAGGAGGAGGUCAAGAAGCUGGCAGGGGCAGAGAACACAAAGGACUGGUGGCAGGAACUCAAGCUUGGGGAACCAAGGAGAGAGAUAGGUCUCUAAGAAAGCUAAGGU